ACAAAGGAGAGAUGUUACCUGUAAAAACACUGCACUUUUCUUCAAAACAUUUUUAAUUCUAAAAAUGUUAGUGAGUUUUUAAAGAAGCCAGCUGAUAGCCUGUUCUCUAUUAUUUUUCUCAAUAUAUGUUUUAGAAAGAGAACUUUUGUUAUCCAUCUGCCCUUACAUAAGAAACUGGAGAAAUUAGCUUUGCAAGCAUGUCACAUCAUCAUUUGCAUUCUGUUGGCAGGGGAUAGAUGAGUAUUUUAGAGGAUGUGAGCUGUAAGUGUUUCAAAUAUUUGGGUUUUCAAAAAUGUAUACUUAAUUAUAAGAAUUGCCUUUUGCUUUAGCCAAUUCUGGGUAGCAAGAAUGAAAAGUCAGCACCUCUCAAGUGACCUCUAAGCAGGAAUAAGUAGCCCUUUUUUAACCCACUCUUAACCCUGUUGUUGUUCAUUUGUUUUGUUUACUGAAAAAGUAAAGUUAAAAUUUUUAAAAAAUGUGUCUGCAUAUGUUAAGCACAGCAAAACGCAAAAAAAGUAUAGGUGUUACAGGUGCUUUCAAGAAGCACUCUUUAAAAUCUUGUUUUUACCUUUUAGAUAUUUAGAAAAAUAUAACCUAUAAAUUAUCCCGAAUAGAUGACCAACAUCGAAACUUGAAAGUGCCAACAGGUGAUGCAGAUCAUGAUGUGUGCUUCCAUAUAAGAUAACAUCAAAAUGAAAUACCUGUGAAGUUUUUGUCGGUAGCACAGAACAAAUUAUUUGUUCCAUAAUUAUUUUUAAAAAGCAGAAAAUGUGUUUGUAACAUUUAAGAAAUGGCAUGGGAUUGUCAUAGAAACUCAUUCUGAACACUGUAAAUAAAAAUGGUUGGGGAUUAGUCACAGUAACAUGUAGGACAUCAUGAAAUUCAAGACAGAUUUCUUUGUCUAACAGUCAAUCCUGGUCUUGACUUUUAUUUGAGCUUUUUAUCUAGAAAAGAUGAUUUGGUGAUGAUGGAGUAAUAUAGUAACUGCUCUAGCUUAUAUGGUGUUUUUGGCAUGGUUACUUAAUCCUAAGCUCUGAGAGGCACAGGAAGUAAAAGAAAAGUUAAAGAUGACAAUUAAGGUGUUGGGCCCAGUUAGAUAUAGUGAAGUCAGAAUUUUCCCUCAUUAAAACUGUUAGACCAAUUUCAUUAGACGGAAAUGCACCCACAUAUGUAAAUCUUCUUUGUUUAAUUGGAGACCUAUUGAUUGUAGGUAACAUAAGCCUCUCUAAGGGAAACAGAACCCAACUGAAGAUAAGAGUUUCUUCCCCCCAACACAUACAGCAUUCAUGAUUUUAUUUCUCUAGGCGUGUUCAUUAUCAAAAUCAUUCUACUGCAGACUUUCCCAUAAAGUGUUUCUGUCUGGCCCUGUUUUCAUAUCUAAAAGCUUCUAGUGGUUUCAGCAAGAAAUGAUGGAAACAUUUUGACAGAAUAUAUAUUUCUUUUUUUAAAACUAAGAUCUUAAAAUUAAAGAGAAACAAAAACUUACAAAAUCACAUGAAAAUAUAAUGCUUUAAAGAGACUGAGAAUAAUUGUCUUCUUUUGUGCUUUCAUAGAAUGCUAAAAGAAACCAAAUUCUGAUCUUCUUUGUGUUCAUCUCACAUUAGGUUUGUAUUCCAUCCGGAAUUUGUGUAUGGUGUGAGAGAAAGGACAAGACCUGACCUAGUUUUGUUAAUUUUCCUCUUAUUUUUAAAAAUUUUAUGGUUUGGUAUAUGCUACCAUAAUUGAAACCUCAGAUUCUCCUCACAAAUUACUUUAUGCCAAGUGGUAUAGUAUCUGUUAAUUAGUGGGUAAAUAGUGUUUUUAAAGAAUGCAGUCAUCUAAAAUUUCAAAAUAUAAGGCUCAUUUGUAUGAAUUAAUUAUUUUAGAUGGCAAAUGAGGAAAAUUAUUUCCAGAUUAUUUUUUCUUAUAUUUUUUUAAAAGUUGGCUUUAAGGGAGCACGUUUCUCUUUGAGGGUGGCCUGUUUCAUUGUCAAUAUUUGCUCUUCAUUGGAAGCUGAGGUCAUGUCAGAGUUACUCAGGAGAAAGACCUGGACUUUUCUUCUUAUCUUUUAAUGGUUUAUCAUUGAUAAGUUUGGACAUGAUGUCCCUAGAUUCAAAGGGGAAGAGGCAAAAUGUAUUAAAUGCUGUCUUACACAUAGACUACAAGGGAUUUACUUGGCCAGGGAGAGAACAGGGUUGAUUCUGAGCUGGAGAGAAUGAGGAUGGCUUCUGUGAAGGAGAUGACCUAAAGCAGGGCCUCGAAGUUUAAGGUCUUAUGUUUAGGAACUAGUUUCUCUCCACCUUAAUCCUUUAUUGUCAAGUCUGCAAUAAUGUUAAGAACAGGAAAAAAAAAUGUAGAUUCCUGGAUAGGCACAGUUUUUAUAUUAAUGUAACUAUAUAGGCAUAGUUUUUAUAUUAAUGUAACUAUACAGCACCUAUUUUUGUGUUUUACUAUUACUUGGCAGACAUCUUGAGUGUUUUACAAGGUUAUCGUAUAUUUCACUAAUAAUCGUUGCUUGAUAAUUUGGUGUCCUGACAGACUGCAGUUUAUUAUUUAGUAUUAAAGCUCUCAAAUGUAUUUAUUGAGCACCUGCUGGGUACAAGGCUUUGAGCUUAGUGAUGAAAGCAUAUGACAUAGUCUGUAGCCUCAAAUUUUCUAUAAUCUCGUGAUAAAAAGACUGAAGGCCAUUAUGGCUGGACAGUUAAGGGAGAGUGACCUAAAUAAAGUUCAUAUUGGCGGGAGAGCAGCUUGCCACAGGGUUACACAGAAUAGGCAGUGGUGGUCCACAUAAUUAAUAGCUUUAUCAUAUGAGAUUUAAGGAUUGUUUGGAAAUAUUGUUAGAAUCAAAAUCAACGUUUGUUACUACACAGGGUUGAGCAUUCCAGGCACACUCUGGUCGUUUUGUUAUUCUAAUGUCCACUUAUUUCAUGUCUGCCGUGACCGUGACAGUUUUCAGUCACACAGAGCUGCCAUCAAAAGAGUGAUAAGCUUGUAAGUGAAGCCUUUGGGGAAGCAAUAAAGUCAUUUUUCUGGUCCCAUCUCAAAAGACAUUAUUGGAAAUUUAUUUAAAAGUGAUCAAGGUAGCACAUACGAGGCCUUCUACAGUUUGCAUUUUGGAAGUUAUUAACAAUCUGCAGUUAAGUCCAUUUAAAACUGAAAGUGGCUCUUCCACAAACUACUUUUUAAAUAGCUUGCUGGUUCUAAAUUUAAGGAGAAUGGAAAUAUUGGAAAUUAAAAGUCAAAAGAAAUUUCUGGGGCAUAAGAUCCUUUCAAGUUUACAAUUUCUCACUUUAGAUUUAAAACUUGAACACGGCCAUACUUUGCAUUUUAUGAUAUCUAAUUAGUGCCUUGUAAUAUAUUUUGUGAACAGUAUCUGUUAGCCAUAAUAUCAGGGACAGUUUAAAAAAUCUUCAGUACAUUUAUGAUAAAAGUAUUAGCAUUGUAAGGUCUUAAAUUGACAUCUAGGACAUUAGGAAAUCAAAUUUAAAGCAUUGCAUUGUCUGUUACUCAAUGGAGUGGACUGAGGACAGCGUGUGACUUGUGUACUGCAAAUGAUGCAAUAGCUAAAUAUCCUAGUGUGAGUUAAGGUUGAUUAAGUGAUCAUCUUUAACUCUGCUUUUCCCAGGGCUCUUUGAACUCUUGUUUUAUUAGGUAAUAUGCUAUGCUGUUAUUUUAUUGCUGUUUAAAAAACCUUCUCUUUUGGGAAAGAAAACAUGUGAAUUCUUUGGUUUCUAGAUAGAAAUUAGCAAUCUUUUGCUCGGAAUGUAAAAGUAUGCUGUAUUAUCACAAACUGACCCUCCUCCUCCCCAAGAAUUCUAGGGAGUAAAAUGCGUGCACAGGAAAUCAGAAAUGGAUCAACAGAGUUAUAGGUUUUAAAAAAACUGCCUUGCAUUUUUGCCCUGGAAUUAAUUUUCAGUGAAAAUUAAAAUAUUUUUUCUGU
rnacentral:lncRNA from 1 species